AGAAAAGGCGGCGCGCGGGGGCCUCCGCGGCUGCGCAGUGAGGGCCGCCGAGGCAAGGCGCUGUCAUGUCUGUGGCCGCGAAGGGGCAGCUGCCGCGGGAGGAGGAGAAGGGGAGCCGGGAGAAGAUGAGGUCUGUUUCUGUGGAUCUAAAUAUUGACCCUUCACUGCAGAUUGAUAUCCCUGAUGCUCUCAG